GGGUUGUGAGGUUAAGCGACUAAGCGUACACGGUGGAUGCCCUGGCAGUCAGAGGCGAUGAAGGGCGUGCUAAUCUGCGAUAAGCGCCGGUAAGGUGAUAUGAACCGUUAUAACCGGCGAUACCCGAAUGGGGAAACCCAGUGUGACUCGUCACACUAUCAUUAACUGAAUCCAUAGGUUAAUGAGGCGAACCGGGGGAACUGAAACAUCUAAGUACCCCGAGGAAAAGAAAUCAACCGAGAUUCCCCCAGUAGCGGCGAGCGAACGGGGAGGAGCCCAGAGCCUGAAUCAGCAUGUGUGUUAGUGGAAGCGUCUGGAAAGGCGCGCGAUACAGGGUGACAGCCCCGUACACAAAAGCGCAUAUGCUGUGAGCUCGAUGAGUAGGGCGGGACACGUGGUAUCCUGUCUGAAUAUGGGGGGACCAUCCUCCAAGGCUAAAUACUCCUGACUGACCGAUAGUGAACCAGUACCGUGAGGGAAAGGCGAAAAGAACCCCGGCGAGGGGAGUGAAAAAGAACCUGAAACCGUGUACGUACAAGCAGUGGGAGCACAGGUUUACCUGUGUGACUGCGUACCUUUUGUAUAAUGGGUCAGCGACUUAUAUUCUGUAGCAAGGUUAACCGUAUAGGGGAGCCGUAGGGAAACCGAGUCUUAACCGGGCGUUAAGUUGCAGGGUAUAGACCCGAAACCCGGUGAUCUAGCCAUGGGCAGGUUGAAGGUUGGGUAACACUAACUGGAGGACCGAACCGACUAAUGUUGAAAAAUUAGCGGAUGACCUGUGGCUGGGGGUGAAAGGCCAAUCAAACCGGGAGAUAGCUGGUUCUCCCCGAAAGCUAUUUAGGUAGCGCCUCGUGAAUUCAUCUCCGGGGGUAGAGCACUGUUUCGGCUAGGGGGCCAUCCCGGCUUACCAACCCGAUGCAAACUGCGAAUACCGGAGAAUGUUAUCACGGGAGACACACGGCGGGUGCUAACGUCCGUCGUGAAGAGGGAAACAACCCAGACCGCCAGCUAAGGUCCCAAAGUCAUGGUUAAGUGGGAAACGAUGUGGGAAGGCCCAGACAGCCAGGAUGUUGGCUUAGAAGCAGCCAUCAUUUAAAGAAAGCGUAAUAGCUCACUGGUCGAGUCGGCCUGCGCGGAAGAUGUAACGGGGCUAAACCAUGCACCGAAGCUGCGGCAGCGACGUUUAUGCGUUGUUGGGUAGGGGAGCGUUCUGUAAGCCUGCGAAGGUGGCCUGUGAGGGUUGCUGGAGGUAUCAGAAGUGCGAAUGCUGACAUAAGUAACGAUAAAGCGGGUGAAAAGCCCGCUCGCCGGAAGACCAAGGGUUCCUGUCCAACGUUAAUCGGGGCAGGGUGAGUCGACCCCUAAGGCGAGGCCGAAAGGCGUAGUCGAUGGGAAACAGGUUAAUAUUCCUGUACUUGGUGUUACUGCGAAGGGGGGACGGAGAAGGCUAUGUUGGCCGGGCGACGGUUGUCCCGGUUUAAGCGUGUAGGUGUGUGUUCCAGGUAAAUCCGGUUCACUUUAACACUGAGGCGUGACGACGAGGCACUACGGUGCUGAAGCAACAAAUGCCCUGCUUCCAGGAAAAGCCUCUAAGCAUCAGGUAACAUCAAAUCGUACCCCAAACCGACACAGGUGGUCAGGUAGAGAAUACCAAGGCGCUUGAGAGAACUCGGGUGAAGGAACUAGGCAAAAUGGUGCCGUAACUUCGGGAGAAGGCACGCUGACACGUAGGUGAAGUGAUUUACUCAUGGAGCUGAAGUCAGUCGAAGAUACCAGCUGGCUGCAACUGUUUAUUAAAAACACAGCACUGUGCAAACACGAAAGUGGACGUAUACGGUGUGACGCCUGCCCGGUGCCGGAAGGUUAAUUGAUGGGGUCAGCGCAAGCGAAGCUCCUGAUCGAAGCCCCGGUAAACGGCGGCCGUAACUAUAACGGUCCUAAGGUAGCGAAAUUCCUUGUCGGGUAAGUUCCGACCUGCACGAAUGGCGUAAUGAUGGCCAGGCUGUCUCCACCCGAGACUCAGUGAAAUUGAACUCGCUGUGAAGAUGCAGUGUACCCGCGGCAAGACGGAAAGACCCCGUGAACCUUUACUAUAGCUUGACACUGAACAUUGAGCCUUGAUGUGUAGGAUAGGUGGGAGGCUUUGAAGUGUGGACGCCAGUCUGCAUGGAGCCGGCCUUGAAAUACCACCCUUUAAUGUUUGAUGUUCUAACGUGGACCCGUGAUCCGGGUUGCGGACAGUGUCUGGUGGGUAGUUUGACUGGGGCGGUCUCCUCCUAAAGAGUAACGGAGGAGCACGAAGGUUGGCUAAUCCUGGUCGGACAUCAGGAGGUUAGUGCAAUGGCAUAAGCCAGCUUGACUGCGAGCGUGACGGCGCGAGCAGGUGCGAAAGCAGGUCAUAGUGAUCCGGUGGUUCUGAAUGGAAGGGCCAUCGCUCAACGGAUAAAAGGUACUCCGGGGAUAACAGGCUGAUACCGCCCAAGAGUUCAUAUCGACGGCGGUGUUUGGCACCUCGAUGUCGGCUCAUCACAUCCUGGGGCUGAAGUAGGUCCCAAGGGUAUGGCUGUUCGCCAUUUAAAGUGGUACGCGAGCUGGGUUUAGAACGUCGUGAGACAGUUCGGUCCCUAUCUGCCGUGGGCGCUGGAGAACUGAGGGGGGCUGCUCCUAGUACGAGAGGACCGGAGUGGACGCAUCACUGGUGUUCGGGUUGUCAUGCCAAUGGCACUGCCCGGUAGCUAAAUGCGGAAGAGAUAAGUGCUGAAAGCAUCUAAGCACGAAACUUGCCCCGAGAUGAGUUCUCCCUGAGACUUAGAGUCUCCUGAAGGAACGUUGAAGACGACGACGUUGAUAGGCCGGGUGUGUAAGCGCAGCGAUGCGUUGAGCUAACCGGUACUAAUGAACCGUGAGGCUUAACCUUACAACGCCGAAGCUGUU
rnacentral:rRNA from 1 species